AUUAGAUGAGCCUAUAUUAGAUUAGCUAGUUGGUGGAGUAAUAGCCUACCAAGGCAAUGAUCUAUAGCUGAUCUGAGAGGAUGAUCAGCCACACUGGAACUGAGAUACGGUCCAGACUCCUACGGGAGGCAGCAGUGGGGAAUAUUGGACAAUGGGCGAAAGCCUGAUCCAGCCACGCCGCAUGAGUGAAGAAGGCCUUUGGGUUGUAAAGCUCUUUUAGUGAGGAAGAUAAUGACGGUACUCACAGAAGAAGUCCUGGCUAACUCCGUGCCAGCAGCCGCGGUAAUACGGAGAGGGCUAGCGUUAUUCGGAAUUAUUGGGCGUAAAGGGCGCGUAGGCUGAUUAAUAAGUUAAAAGUGAAAUCCCGAGGCUUAACCUUGGAAUUGCUUUUAAAACUAUUAAUCUAGAGAUUGAAAGAGGAUAGAGGAAUUCCUGAUGUAGAGGUAAAAUUCGUAAAUAUUAGGAGGAACACCAGUGGCGAAGGCGUCUAUCUGGUUCAAAUCUGACGCUGAAGCGCGAAGGCGUGGGGAGCAAACAGGAUUAGAUACCCUGGUAGUCCACGCUGUAAACGAUGAAUGUUAAAUAUGGGAAGUUUA
rnacentral:rRNA from 1 species